rnacentral:precursor_RNA from 10 species
GCCCCUGCGUCCUGGGGCAGUCCUUGCUGCUGUAAACAUCCUUGACUGGAAGCUGUGAGGUGCGAGCAGGAGCUUUCAGUCGGAUGUUUGCAGCAGCAGGCUGCUGCCGUCAGCUGAGCACGAC